UUAAGGGCAGACGUACCUAUUGUGAGGACAAUUGGGGAACUGCCUAAACACAUCUUGGUGUUUGUUAGAACAAGAUUUGGUUCUACAUCUAUACCUUAAGUUUUGAUGAUAAUAAUGUUGUAUUUGUGUGAGAACAAUUUUGGUACCCUAAUGGUUUGUUAUUGUGUAGCCUUAACAACUAGUUCUGAUUCUGAGUAUAUGACGUGCAACAUCGUCAAGUUUUGAAUAAUUGUGUUCUAAAUUACGCUUCUGCACUAAUCAAGAGAAGUUCUAAAAGAUGUU
rnacentral:lncRNA from 1 species